rnacentral:rRNA from 1 species
AUUGGACGCUGGCGGCAGGCCUAACACAUGCAAGUCGAACGGUAGCACAGAGAGCUUGCUCUCGGGUGACGAGUGGCGGACGGGUGAGUAACGUCUGGGAAACUGCCCGAUGGAGGGGGAUAACUACCGGAAACGGUAGCUAAUACCGCAUAACGUCGCAAGACCAAAGUGGGGGACCUUCGGGCCUCACACCAUCGGAUGUGCCCAGAUGGGAUUAGCUAGUAGGUGGGGUAAUGGCUCACCGAGGCGACGUUCCCUAGCUGGUUUGAGAGGAUGACCAGCCAGACUGGAACUGAGACACGGUCCAGACUCCGACGGGAGGCAGCAGUGGGGAAUAUUGCACAAUGGGCGCAAGCCUGAUGCAGCCAUGCCGCGUGUAUGAAGAAGGCCUUCGGGUUGUAAAGUACUUUCAGCGGGGAGGAAGGCGGUGAAGUUAAUAACUUCACCGAUUGACGUUACCCGCAGAAGAAGCACCGGCUAACUCCGUGCCAGCCGCCGCGGUAA